GACGAACGCUGGCGGCGUGCUUAACACAUGCAAGUCGAACGGAAAGGCCAUGCUUUUGCGGGGUGCUCGAGUGGCGAACGGGUGAGUGACACGUGAGUAUCAUGCACUUGUCUUUGGGAUAACUUCAGGAAACUGGGGCUCAUACAGGAUAGGAGCUUCUGCUGCACGGUGGGGGUUGGAAAGUUUCGGCGGUUGGGGAUAGACUCGCGGCUUAUCAGCUUGUUGGUGAGGUAGUGACUUACCAAGGCUUAGACGGAUAGCCGGCCUGAGAGGUGGACCAGCGACAUGGGGACUGAGAGACGGACCAGACGCCAACGUGAGGCAGCGGUGGGGAAUAUGGCACAAUGGGCGGAAGCCUGAGACAGCAGCGCCGGGUUCGUGAUGACGUCCUUCGGGUGGUAAACCGCUUUCGCCUUAAACGAAGCGUUAGUGACGGUAAUGGAUAAAAAAGCACCGGCUAACUACGUG
rnacentral:rRNA from 1 species